rnacentral:rRNA from 1 species
GACGAACGCUGGCGGCGUGCUUAACACAUGCAAGUCGAACGCGAAUUGGGGGCAACCCCAUAGUAGAGUGGCGCACGGGUGAGUAACACGUGGGUAAUCAACCCUCGGGUGGGGGAUAACGGCUCGAAAGGGCCGCUAAUCCCGCAUAAGACCACGGAGGCUUCGGCUUCUGGGGCCAAAGGAGUAAUCCGCCUGAGGACGAGCCCGCGUCCCAUCAGCUAGUUGGUGAGGUAACGGCCCACCAAGGCUUUGACGGGUAGCUGGUCUGAGAGGACGACCAGCCACACUGGGACUGAUACACGGCCCAGACUCCUACGGGAGGCAGCAGUGAGGAAUAUUGGACAAUGGGCGAAAGCCUGAUCCAGCAACGCCGCGUGGGUGAUGAAGGCCUUCGGGUUGUAAAGCCUGUCGAGGGGACGAGCAAGGACGGUACCCCUAAAGGAAGCACCGGCUAACUCCGUGCCAGCAGCCGCGGUAAGACGUAGCGUG